CUCAGUAAUAUAGAAUCAGCAACAGAAAUGAUAAAGAAAAACAAUCGAAGAACUAGAAAGCGAUUCUGAUCCUGUCCAGCCGUGCAAUGUCAGAAGUAUGCCCCGAGUUCUAUGUGACACUAAAAAGAAAAUGAUUGCAUCUGGUGCAGUAAAGCAUGAUCAUACAAUUAUGAGAUUUAUGAAAGAUCUCAAAACAAACCAAAAACCAUUUCCCGCAAUCCAGAAACUAUUCCAGGAGGAGACGUCUUAUAAAUUAAGAACUGCUUACAACAAAAU